GAUGAACGCUAGCUACAGGCUUAACACAUGCAAGUCGAGGGGAAACGACAUCGAAAGCUUGCUUUUGAUGGGCGUCGACCGGCGCACGGGUGAGUAACGCGUAUCCAACCUGCCCAUCACUUGGGGAUAACCUUGCGAAAGUAAGACUAAUACCCAAUGAUAUCUCUAGAAGACAUCUGAAAGAGAUUAAAGAUUUAUCGGUGAUGGAUGGGGAUGCGUCUGAUUAGCUUGUUGGCGGGGUAACGGCCCACCAAGGCAACGAUCAGUAGGGGUUCUGAGGGGAAGGUCCCCCACAUUGGAACUGAGACACGGUCCAAACUCCUACGGGAGGCAGCAGUGAGGAAUAUUGGUCAAUGGGCGAGAGCCUGAACCAGCCAAGUAGCGUGCAGGAAGACGGCCCUAUGGGUUGUAAACUGCUUUUAUAAGGGAAUAAAGUGAGAGUCGUGACUCUUUUUGUAUGUACCUUAUGAAUAAGGACCGGCUAAUUCCGUG
rnacentral:rRNA from 1 species